rnacentral:rRNA from 1 species
GUGGGGAAUUUUGGACAAUGGGCGCAAGCCUGAUCCAGCAAUGCCGCGUGCAGGAAGAAGGCCUUCGGGUUGUAAACUGCUUUUGUACGGAACGAAACGGUUCUCUCUAAUACAGGGGGCUAAUGACGGUACCGUAAGAAUAAGCACCGGCUAACUACGUGCCAGCAGCCGCGGUAAUACGUAGGGUGCAAGCGUUAAUCGGAAUUACUGGGCGUAAAGCGUGCGCAGGCGGUUUUGUAAGACAGAGGUGAAAUCCCCGGGCUCAACCUGGGAACUGCCUUUGUGACUGCAAGGCUGGAGUGCGGCAGAGGGGGAUGGAAUUCCGCGUGUAGCAGUGAAAUGCGUAGAUAUGCGGAGGAACACCGAUGGCGAAGGCAAUCCCCUGGGCCUGCACUGACGCUCAUGCACGAAAGCGUGGGGAGCAAACAGGAUUAGAUACCCCAGUAGUCC